GAGUUAUAACAGCAUAUUUACGAAAGAUAAAUACAAGACUAGAAUUUUCGGCCGUCUUCGUACUUUCACGCGAUUGGUCGAAGUUCCAAAAUCUGUAGCUCUCAAAUUUGAUUGGUUGAAUGUGUGACGCUGCCAUUUUCAAAGUGAUUAGACUGUCGCAAUAUUUCGGAGGUUAUUUUGCAUAAAUUGCUAAAUAUUCCGUGGUUGAGUGGAAUGAGGACCGGAGUCCAGAAUCACGGAAUAUAUAAGGAAGGUGACAUCCUGCAAGAACGGCAUGUCCAGACGUUUUGGGCCGGGUGUACGUAAAGUUCUUGUGAUCAUCACAACAUGAUUAUGCAGUGGUCAAGGCUGACGACAAGUGGUGUGACUUGAAGAUAGCCCUUAGGAACAAAGUUAGUGCACUUUGCAACGCAGAAGAAACGGCAGAAGCAGAGGGAGGAUGAGUCUCAAGACUGAUGUGUUAUGAAGAUCAUGGACAGACUAGAUAUGAAUACCAUAUAAGGUCACAGACAGACUAGAUAUGUAUACCAUAUAAGAUCAUGGGCAGACUAGAUAUGUACAUACCAUAUCAUCAGCUCACUGACAGACUAGAUAUGUAUGUACCAUAUAACAUCAUGGACAGGCUAGAUAUGUAUAAAAUACUGAUUAAACAUCUAGCAAUUUAUUGAAUCUUGUACAAUGAAAAUGACAACAAUUUGUUAUUAUUUAUUAUAUUUAUGAUAAUAUAGCCCAAAGUAUUUAAUAGUCGCUUUUUAAAUCUCUACAAUAGUAGCCAAUGCGACAUGGGAUAUUAUGUUUACUGUAACAAUGGUUUUAACUUUUAAUAGUAGCUGAAUUAGUAGCCAAUGCAUGUCUUUUUAUGCCCCCCCCCCCCCAGGGGGGGGGGGGGGGGGGCAUAUUGUUUUUGUCCUGUCUGUCAUUCUGUCUGAAACUUUAACCUUGCUAAUAACUUUUGAACUGUAAGUGAUAGAGCUUUGAUAUUUCACAUGAGUAUUCCUUGUGACAAGACCUUUCCGUGAGUACCAACAUUUUUGACCCUGUAACCUUGACCUAUGAGUUUGACCUACUUUUUGAAAACUUUAACUUUGCUUAUAACUUUUGAACAGUAAGUGGUAGAGCUUUAAUAUUUCACAUGAGCAUUCCUUGUGACAAGACCUUUCCGUGAGUACCAACACUUUUGACCCUUUGACCUUGGAGUUUGACCUACUUUUUGAAAACUUUAACCUUGUUAAUAACUUUUGAACUGUAAGUGAUAGAGCUUUGAUAUUUCACAUGAGUAUUCCUUGUGACAAGACCUUUUCGUUGGUACUAAACCUUUUGACCUUGACAUUUGACCUACUUUUAGUUUUAUUUUUACAUUGGUCAUAACUUCUAAAUGGUAAAUAUUAGAGCUUUAAUAUUGUACAUGAGCAUUUCUUGUGACAAGAUCUUUCUACUGGUACCAAAAUAUUUGUCCUUGUGACCUUGGCCAUCUCUGGGAUUGGCCAUUGUCGGGGACAUUUGUGUUUCACAAACACAUCUUGUUUCCCCUUGCUUUUGAUUGAUUUUGCAUAACUAAGUUGAUUUGACUGAAGGCUUUAUUCAUAUAUUUUUAAAGAUGUCAGAUUUCUUUCUUAAAAUGUGAUUGAAAGCUGCUUUCAAAAACUAUUAAAACCUGUUUUUUACAAUUCUUUUUACUUUUCUAGGCACUGCAUUGUAUUGUUUUUGGCACAUUAAUAUACUUUUUGCGUAUCAUUCUUGUACUUUUUUGAAAUACAAAAUGUAUUUUUUUUGUAUUUUUUUAAAUAUGUAUUGUUUUUAUACUUUUUUUUGGUAAUGUAUUAUUUCUAUUCCCCAUCUUUGAAUACUUAGAUGUUGAUACAAAUUUAAUACAAUUCAUAUUUUUUUCCUAUUUUAAUUUUUCAAGGUGAACCAAAUAAUACAAAAAUUAUAUGUUGAUACAAAAUUAAUAGAAAUCAUAUUCUUUUUCCUAUUUUUUCAAGGUGAACCAAAUAAUACAAAAUUAAUAUGUUGAUACAAAAUUAAUACACUUUGUAUUUUUUUUGUACUUUUUUAAUCCUACUCCAAAAUGUAUUAUUUUUGUACUUUAAAUUGGGAUUUAAUACAUAAAUAAUACAAGAGUAUAGAAAUAAUACAUCAAAUGUAUCAUUUUUGUAUUUUUACUAAGAAAUAAAGUAUAUUAAAAAUAUAUUUUUGUGUGUUUCAUUAUUUAGAAAGUGUAUUAUUUUUGACCUAAUUUGGAACCAAGAUUUAGAUGGUUCCAAAUUUGGUCAUUAAAAAUAUAUUUUUUUGGUAUCAUUUUAGUAUUAUUUUCUUGUAUCAUUUUCAUAUUUAUUUUCGAUAUGGG